AGUCACGACGCAUAUCAAUAAGCGGAGGAAAAGAAACCAACAGGGAUUGCCCUAGUAACGGCGAGUGAAGCGGCAACAGCUCAAAUUUGAAAUCUGGCUUCGGCCCGAGUUGUAAUUUGCAGAGGAAGCUUUAGGCGCGGCACCUUCUGAGUCCCCUGGAACGGGGCGCCAUAGAGGGUGAGAGCCCCGUAUAGUUGGAUGCCUAGCCUGUGUAAAGCUCCUUCGACGAGUCGAGUAGUUUGGGAAUGCUGCUCAAAAUGGGAGGUAAAUUUCUUCUAAAGCUAAAUACCGGCCAGAGACCGAUAGCGCACAAGUAGAGUGAUCGAAAGAUGAAAAGCACUUUGAAAAGAGGGUUAAAUAGCACGUGAAAUUGUUGAAAGGGAAGCGCUUGUGACCAGACUUGCGCCGGGCGGAUCAUCCGGUGUUCUCACCGGUGCACUCCGCCCGGCUCAGGCCAGCAUCGGUUCUCGCGGGGGGAUAAAGGUCCUGGGAACGUAGCUCCUCCGGGAGUGUUAUAGCCCGGGGCGUAAUGCCCUCGCGGGGACCGAGGUUCGCGCAUCUGCAAGGAUGCUGGCGUAAUGGUCAUCAGCGA
rnacentral:rRNA from 1 species